AACGAACGCUGGCGGCAUGCCUAACACAUGCAAGUCGAACGAUCCCUUCGGGGAUAGUGGCGCACGGGUGCGUAACGCGUGGGAACCUGCCCUUAGGUUCGGAAUAACUCAGAGAAAUUUGAGCUAAUACCGGAUAAUGUUUUCGGACCAAAGAUUUAUCGCCUUUGGAUGGGCCCGCGUUGGAUUAGCUAGUUGGUGGGGUAAAGGCCUACCAAGGCGACGAUCCAUAGCUGGUCUGAGAGGAUGAUCAGCCACACUGGGACUGAGACACGGCCCAGACUCCUACGGGAGGCAGCAGUGGGGAAUAUUGGACAAUGGGCGAAAGCCUGAUCCAGCAAUGCCGCGUGAGUGAUGAAGGCCUUAGGGUUGUAAAGCUCUUUUACCCGGGAUGAUUAUGACAGUACCGGGAGAAUAAGCCCCGGCUAACUCCGUG
rnacentral:rRNA from 1 species